GGUUCCAUAGCCAAGCUGGCUAAGGCUACGGAUUGCAAAUUCGUGAUCGCCCGUUCGAGUCGGGCUGGAACCUCCA
rnacentral:tRNA from 1 species